GCGACGACCAUCGCGGUAUCGGCGGCCGCCAUGAACACCUGCCCGCAGAUCACGCCGCCCGAAUGGCGAAAUUCGCCGGAGAACGGCAGCCGGAGGGUGACGCUCUCCUCGGAAAUCGAUACGGGAGUGAGGGAAAGAGAACGGACCCACGGAGCAAGGAGCCGAUCCAGCAAAUCACGGACAGUGUUUUCGUCCAUUGUCGUACGCCCAGAAAGAGCCGCGCGCCCGCCGCGCGACAGGGUUUCGGCGACAUCAUACCGGGAGCGCGCACGAUGCGACGGAUCGUGCGCGUUCGGAACGGCAAUGCGCGGCCGACGGACGCGCUUCGAAAAAAAUGCAAAAAAGGCUAGACAAGCUUGAAAAGCCCAUGCAUAAUUUCGCUUCUGUUG
rnacentral:tRNA from 1 species